rnacentral:tRNA from 1 species
GCACGCAUAGCUCAGUUGGUUAGAGCGCAUCGUUCACAUCGAUGAGGUCUCUGGUUCGAGUCCAGAUGCGUGCA